rnacentral:rRNA from 1 species
GACGAACGCUGGCGGCGUGCUUAACACAUGCAAGUCGAACGGAAAGGCCCUGCUUUUGUGGGGUGCUCGAGUGGCGAACGGGUGAGUAACACGUGAGUAACCUGCCCUUGACUUUGGGAUAACUUCAGGAAACUGGGGCUAAUACCGGAUAGGAGCUCCUGCUGCAUGGUGGGGGUUGGAAAGUUUCGGCGGUUGGGGAUGGACGUGCGGCUUAUCAGCUUGUUGGUGGGGUAGUGGCUUACCAAGGCUUUGACGGGUAGCCGGCCUGGGAGGGUGAACGGCCACACUGGGACUGGGAUACGGCCCAGGCGCCAACGGGAGGCAGCGGUGGGGAACAUGGCGCAACGGGCGGACGCCUGAGACAGCAACGCCGCGUGCGGGAUGACGGCCUUCGGGUGGAAAACCGAUUUCGCCUGUGACGAGGCGUGAGUGACGGUAAUGGGUAAAGAAGCACCGGCUAACUACGU